GUGCUCGCUUCAGCAACACACAAAUACUAAAACUGCAAUGAUACAGAGAUUAGCAGGGCCCCUGCGCAAGGAUGACACACUGAUUUGUGAAGCGUUCCACAUUAGA
ensembl:snRNA U6 U6 spliceosomal RNA